AGUAUCCUUCUUCCACCAGGAGGAAGAAGAACUGUGUCUCUGAAGUUUGGGAAGUAUACGUAGACAUGGAGUCUGGCCUUGAGCUUUCUGUAGUAGAAAGGCCCAUGUCAGCAGCCCUUAAAGGGACAGGGUGAGGUGUACUCGGGGGAAAGAUGGUAGUAACCAUACUCCUCCCAAUUUUCCGUGAUACACCACAGUGUAAAAGAGGACCCCAGUGGUUUCCACGGCUACACAGAAAAUUCAUGGAGGGUAGCAGAAGAAGAUGAGCCAUGGAGCUGCCAGGUGGCUGCCAGUCCAAUCUUUUAAGGUUCAAUUUAGGGAAAAGGACUUUUUCUCAGUAAGCCCUGAUACCUUGAUGUGAGAAGGCCAAGAAGAAGCCUAUAGAGAUGCCCACAAGAGGAGACUAAAGCUGAGAGAAACUGAGGCCCCUGGCCCUAGAGCUUUCACUGAGCUCCAGCUGACAACCAUCAUCAAAUCACCAGCCAUGUGACUGUGCCAUGAUGGGAGGGAAUCACCCAGUGUCCAAAUGAUCUGAUGCCACAUGUAAAAGAGAAGAGCCUUCCCCUUUGAGCCCUGCCCAGAUUGCUACUCUGCACCAAGUUUGUUCUUUACUCCCAGCCUAAUGGAUGAAAUGAAACUUGGUGAGCUCCCAGAGUUGGACAACCUUCAGAAUGCUGAGACAUACUAAAUGAAGGAAGAAAGUCCUUUUGUGAGUUCUCCAAAACUCAGACCUCCCAGUGACUACAGCAAGGUCCUGUUGUUUCAGUGAAAAGCUGUUCAACUUGGUGAACCAGACAGAGAAGAGACCCUGGGCCGUAAGAGGCUUUAAAAAAUAUUUAUCCAAUGAAUGAGGAGUGAUGGAAGUGAAGAACACUAAACUCAAUUUAGUGGUUACCACUGCAUAAAGGAGAGAAAUAAAACUGCAAGAGGAACACGAGGCACCACCUGUAUCUGCAAUAUUGUGUCACCAUAAGAAAACUCUGAUAUAAAACAUGCCAAAAUACUGAGCUCUGGCAAAAAACAAAAAGCAAACAAAUUCAGCCACAGCUAAAGGCUCUGCAUGAAUUCUGUGGUCUCUAUAGGAAGUAGUAAAAUGAUCUAUGGUACCCCAAAAGCAGUCUUCAGGGGAUUUCACAGAGCAAGUAUCAGAACAUGUUACAACUCAUUUCUAAGGAAGUUCCUCUAAACUUCCUGUCUGUACCAUAAACCAUGGUCUGCUGGUCUCCUCUUCAUUCAUUCAUUCAUUCAUCCAAGAUACUUUCUGGAUGUCCCUGUCUUCAGGAAGAAGGGCUUAAUAGUGGAAUGUUAUGUGGGCAUUGCCACUGGACAGAAACAUUCUUCUCUUUGCAUAAAGUCACAUGAGUCUAAGAUAAUAAUCUGGCCUUGUUCCUCUACAGAAUGACCUCAUUGUUGGCUCAUGAAAGAAAUGAAAUAAUACUAAUAAUUCAUGCUCUUUUAAUUUCCUACCACAAAAUAAAAUUACAAAAGCAAAAUAAAAUAGAAUAAAUAAAAAUUUUAAAAGAUUACACACGAGAAGUACUUCAAAAUGGAUUAUUAACUCAGAACAUUCCACAAACUAUUAUAUACUUCUAAAAUAAAAGCAAAUUUUUAAAAAGUCUAUAUCACAGUUUAAAACAUAGAGAUCUACUUCUUUUAUCUAAUCAAAGAACUUAUAAUGACUAUCAGAACAGGGUCUUAAGAAAAUGGCAGCUUUUAUUCUCGUUCAAUGGAAUACAGGAGCCAUUCUGUGAGGAAGCCCAAACUGGGUUGUGGAGAGGUUUAUCUGGAGAAGAAUCAACAGACAACACUAAUUUGCCAGCCAUUUGAGGAGCAGUAUUGAAAGUGGAUCCUCCAUCUCUAGGUCUUCAGUUUCAGAGGAGCUGUGACUGAGGAACCACAUUUGCACCUGGACCUGAGUACUGUGUGUACAUUUACUGAGAAGACAGAGGAUUUCCAAGCAAUACAAGAAUUCUGUCACAUAAACGAUCUGAUGGGAAACAUAUCAAAGUUGCUGGAUUGCUGGUUCUGUAUGCGUGCUGGGAAACAAUCACACUCUAACUGUAGCUGCCUAGGUCUUCUGAUGCCAUGUUACAGAUGGCCUGUGACCUGGGAGCACCCAAAGCAACAUGCUGAGACUGAAUACAACUCCCUUUACUUCACAGUUCUCAUUUCCAGAGAUAUUUGCAAGGAAAGGGGACAUCUGCAAUGUUUGACAUAACAUCUUGUCAGCCAUGUGGCUGCUUCUGCAUUUCUAGAAAAAGCAAUAUGAAUGGAGGCUGGCCAGAAGUCAAGGGAAGACAAAGGAUCCAGCUGGCUUCAGCAGCUCCUGUAAUGCAGCACAAGUCACAGUGUGGAAAAUGCAGAGAAAUGGUAAAUUACUGUAGAAAGACAGACUGCCAGGCUACCUUGAUUGCCACUGCACUGGGAUUACAUACAAACUUUAUUGCACAGGUCAUAUCGAUAAUUUACUAAAUUGAAAUUUGAGCAACAAAAGAUUAAAAACCACUUAAAAAAUAGAAAGAAAA
rnacentral:lncRNA from 1 species